rnacentral:misc_RNA from 1 species
CCGAGUUUACAACUCCCAAACCCCUGUGAACAUACCUAUACGUUGCCCCGGCGCUGGCGGUCCGGAAGGCCCUCGGGCCCCCCGGAUCCUCGGGUCUCCCGCUCGCGGGAGGCUGCCCGCCGGAGUGCCGAAACCAAACUCUUGAUAUUUUAUGUCUCUCUGAGUAAACUUUUAAAUAAGUCA